AGAGGCUCCCUCAUAAGGAGCACUGUGAGUUCUGUGCUUGAAGCAAAGCAAAGUACUUCCAGUAUUUCUUAAAUGGCUGUGUUCUUCAAUAUAUCCCGUGACAUAAUAGGUGUUCUUCCAAGUGCUGUAAAGAUAAAUACUCUAAAUCACGUUCUCCCUUCUAAGAAAAACAAGUAACUGUAUUGGAAACAGGCAAGGAACAUAAAGGAGAGAAAAACUGUCUGUCUCUGUAUGUUUUCUGGGAUCUGCCAAAUCUCACUGAAGCUGGACAUCAUUUAUCGAGAUGAAGGCAUGCUGGAGUGGAAAAGAUGACAGUCAGAAGUGGAGAUACACUGCAGUCUGUGGCGUUCUUCCAGCAUGGGACAACUGCCCCUCCUCGUCAUCCCAGCCUGUCCUUCUCAAAGACCCCGUACAGAGCCACUGCAGCACUCUAGUUGUGUGAGUGUGAUUUGCCCAUUACUUUGAGAUUUCUAAAAAUCCAGGCUCCAUCCACUGAAGAAUUCAAAGGAUCACUGAUGGAGGAAUGAUGGCAGUAGAAUCACCUGCAUGCAUCAGCUGCAUGGAAACACCCAGGUGUGUAUAGGGAUAUCAAACCAAGUCCUAUGCACGUUUGAUGUAAUACAUGAGCAGGUUCUGCUCCCAGUCCUGAACCUCUUUGAACGGUGACCAUACAAUUUUUUUUCACCUAAGCUCUGGGAGAAGAUCCCUGCUCAGCCAAGUUGGCCUUCUGCCCCACCUGCAUGACUUUGGACGUUAUGGAAUUGCUCGGUAAGAAGUGGUACUUUAAAAGUGACCAGCACUGGUGGACUCCAAUGCCUUCAGAAGCAGUUUUCCUAGGGAACUUACCAAAUAGUUCCCCGAGCAGCAUGAAGUCUGAUUUCCCCAUAUCCAAUGUUACUGUGGCUCUUUUUCUCCUAUCACCAAGGACUAUAUGUUCACCAAUCUCAUGGUCACUAUAGCCAAGACAGCCUCCAUGCACCAUUUCACCCACGAGACCUUCUCUGCUUACAAGCAACAAAUCUAUGAGGCACCUUUCCUAGUUGACUCCCUUGGUAUCUGUAGCAAGAAGUACUACCAAAGACAUAAAAAUAUUUGUCUCUCUGGAAGAUCUCAGUCUUAUCCAUGAAAUCUCCCUCUUUUUUCUACUGGUCUGAAGCACACACUGAUAUUGAACAUUUCAGGAACUCCUCCAACCUUUGUGAAACAGUUGAAUUUACUAUGUGCAGAUUAUAAAUGACAUCAAUUUUGAAGGGUCAAGGUAUGAAAUAUGAUGUUGUUGCAAUACAUUUACUGUACCCACUAACUCUCACCAUCUGUACAUCACAGACAUCACUGAAAUAGCACAUUUUCUCUGAAAAAAAAGAAGAAAGAUCUUCAAAAUACAGUAUUUUCUCAGAAUCUUGCAAGCUUUAGAAGUUUAUUCUCUUUCCAAGGAACAGUUACAAAAGAGGUAAGAUUUAAGGCCACAUCAGAGCUGGGUAAAUAACUUUUUGUGUAUAUGAACUCUGAGGGCACUGAAACUUGGGAACUUGGGGUAAUAUCCACUCAUAAAUUCAACCAGAAACAGAGAGUGGUGCAAAUAUAAAAAGCCACAAUAUUUAAGUUCCGUGUUGUCAUUUUCAAUGAAAUUUCUUAAUUUGAAAGCACUGGAUAUUUUGCUACGAUAUCUUUUAAACAAAACAUUUGAUAUCAUGUUUUUAAAUACCACUCUUAACUACUGCUUGUUUAUUGUAAUAAAUUAAUCAAAAAGUCUUUGAAAGGUUCCAAUAUGUACUUCCCCAAAUCCUCGGACUGUAUUUUUUCUCCUCUAAACAAAAAUGAUUGUUCUUCAGAUGACUUUCUCAUGGUGUGUAAUAUGCCGGGCUGCUGCUUGCACUACAGUUGGAUUUACUUUUUAGAACAUUUUCUGAAAUAUGCUUUAAAGAUAAUUCAUUUGACCUAAAUAUUAUCUAAAUCCCUGAGCCUGUUGCCUCCUAUUGGCCAGCCCAAGGCCCUCAGAGACAUCAAAAUCUUAACUGGAGAUUAACUUGUUUGAAGGUGGUCCUAGAUUUAUUGCAAUUCAUUACAUUGACCUAUAGAGUAUAUAUAGCAACUAAUACAGUACUUGACAUAUGUUUUUUUCUUGAUUGUUCGUACGGUUCAUUUGCACCUAUGCUAAGUGAAUAGGAAUAUUUAGAAGAAUAUUUUCUGAGACUAUUGAACCAUGAUUCUGGGGAAUUUUAUAUCAUGAGAACACAUUUCUCACGUCAUACUGAGAGGCAUGACAAUGAUGCUAUUAUAAAGAGGAAUGGAACAUAUCCAAGUUAUAUAUUCAGCAAAUACUACAGAAUGUCUGUUUGGUUUGUUUUGUUUUGUUUUUGUGGUGUUGUGUUGUGCUUGUUUGCAAGCUUGGACAUACCAGUAGCUCUGUGAGAACUUACGUUUCCUUCUAUCAGAGAGUGACUUCUUGCUUUAUGACUUCUUGCAAGCUAAGAGAUAGUAAAGUGCAGCCUCUGUGCCAACUGCACCACUUUUCUUCCACAACAUCCAGAGAAGACAUGCCUGUACUACCACAGGCUGCCAUGAGUCAAGUUUUAGUUGCUGUAGUUCCUUUAGCUAACAUGUAUAAUAUGUUCUCACAAUGUAAUUACCAAGCUCUGUCUUGCUAAGGUAGAGAAAUGUCAGUGUUUUUUGUGUAGCGUUGGAAGAUCUGGGAAGAGAUAUUCUUCUUCCUGUUGAGCUUCUACAUAAAAAAAAACAUCACCACACUGUAAUUCAGGGUGAUGCAAUAUAAUGUGCCAUAACUUCACCAAAAUGUUAGUCAAGGAAGUAACCUCAAAGUGACGUAAUUCACUUUCGGAUAUUUAUUUCAGUGUAUAAUUUCUGUUCUUAUUUGUAGAAAUGAAUAUGAGCCCAUAUCUCACUUCAGGUAUCCAAGACGACAUGUUCCUUAACAUUCCUUCCAAGCCCAUAGCCAGUGAUCCUCACACAAAGACUGACCCAUAAAUAAAUCAUUUUUUAUUUCCAUCCCUUCUUUCAGCUUCUGCAAAGUAAGGAAAGUAGAAGAAGUACUAUCCAC
ensembl:lncRNA